rnacentral:rRNA from 1 species
UACGUAGGGGGCUAGCGUUGUCCGGAAUCAUUGGGCGUAAAGAGCGUGUAGGCGGCCCGGUAAGUCCGCUGUAAAAGUCAAAGGCUCAACCUUUGAAUGUCAGUGGAUACUGCCGGGCUAGAGUCCGGAAGAGGCGAGUGGAACUCCUGGUGUAGCGGUGGAAUGCGCAGAUAUCAGGAAGAACACCGACGGCGAAGGCAGCUCGCUGGGACGGUACUGACGCUGAGGCGCGAAAGCGUGGGGAGCAAACAGG